rnacentral:antisense_RNA from 1 species
AGCCUCCCAAAGUUCCAGGAUUACAGGCAUGAGCUACCGCUCCCGGCAAGUAUUUUGUUUUUAAAUUCAGCCUGCUCCUGGAGGUUUUUUCUUGGCUUAAAAAUAACAUUAGACUUGAAAGUUCAUUGUCUUAAAAAAUAAAGAAGAAAAGACAAAAUUGUGGCUAAUGGAGGCGCAAUCUCCAGACACAAAACUUGGAUUGAUGAUGGUAAAAUCUGAGAGCCUGUGUUGGAAGACAGCAACCAGGAGCGAGAUGUUGCCCUCUUUAGAUUUCGUGUCUUUGCUUCAGUGGUUUUCUUUAAAGGCAAGCAAAGAGUCUCACUCUGUCUCCCAGACUGGAGUGCAAUGGCGCGAUCUCAGCUCACUGUAACCUCCACCUCCCGAGUUCAAGUGAUUAUCCCACCUCAGCCUCCCAUGUAACUGGGAUUACAGACGGAGUCUCGCUGUGUUCCCCAGGCUUGAGUGCAGUGGCGCAAUCUCAGCUCACUGCAAGCUCCGCCUCCCGGGUUCAUGCCAUUCUCCUGCCUCAGCCUCCCGGAGUAGCUGGGACUACAGGCAUGAGUGCAGUGGCGCAAUCUCAGCUCACUGCAAUCUCCACCUCCCCAGUUCAAAUGAUUCUCCUUCCUCAGCCUCCCAAGUAGCUGGGAUUACAGGUUUGUGGACUCUUGCAAAAGGAACAGUCGAAUUGAUUCAGCAUCAACUAAGCGUGGAAGAAAAAACAUAUGUAACUGUGAAAACAAAAACAAAACAGAUUUCUGGCUGCUGUCCUCAGAAGCCUCCCACACAGAUGAUGUUCCUGACAGGAUCAACAAACGUUGCAUUUCACUGUCCCACAGCGCAGCUUCGUCCAUCAGCCACUGACUGGCAUGGGCCAGGAGCACUUUUGGUCUCGGUGACAGUGACUUCCUUGCUCUGCUGUGAACAAGUGUCCUUUCUGUGAAAGUAGGUCUCAUGGUUCUAGGGCUGAUCCCAGUGCCAUCCCACAACAUUUCAGUGUGCCCGACAGCGUGCCUGGCAAGCAGCGAGCUCCUGACAAUUGGAAGCUGCUAAUGCUGUUACAGACAUCUGCAAGCAAGUCAGAUCAGCCAGAUUCCAUCACGUGAGACACCUUGGAGGACAAAGCCACAUUGUGUGGAGGAGAACACACCACCAUUCAGGCCCAUCGUCAUCCUGCUUUCUCCUAUACUCAGUCUCCCGCAGUGCCAGGUAGGUUUCUGCCUGUACUAAGAAGGGUGAAUGGAAAGGUGAGAUGUAAAAACAAACAAACAAACAAGGGCUCGAAAUGUCUAUGGGAAGAUAAAAUUGUGGCAGUGCUUUAGAAAACAAGAAGCGCAUGAUUAAAUGGACUGUUGUUUUCUUUAGAAUGCGGGUAUUAUAAUUGGUAUUGAGGUGACGCAUUAGGGCUUUGAGGUGCCUCCCCACCCCGGCCUCUGCGCUGGCAGUGAGAACCCAGCCCGUGCUAUCUUCACAGUUCUCGGCCCAUGGAAGCACAGGCCACCUGGGCUCCUGCAAACAACAGACGUGUAAUUAGAGGCUCCUGGGCUGGGAUGAUGUGGUGCACAGACAAGUCUUAUCACGCGUCUGAGCCGCUGUAGGUGCCUGGAGUUGCCUCUGCAGCCCGGAGCAGGUGAGCGGAGGCUCCCGUGACUCACCCAACUGCAGGAACUGUCAACUGGCUUCUGCCCAGCCAAGAACUUUUAUCAAUCACUAAGUAGAGACACUGUGUACAAGGACACCGGUUCAUCCAAGAACAUCAGGACAGCCAGGAAUUCAAAACACAAAACACAGCUUCCUGCAUGUUGCACCCCAGGCGGCUCUGAGGCUCAGCCCAAGGAAGGUUUGGGGCUUGAGCCAGAAAGACACGAUUCACUCUGACUUACACAAGAGGGGAGUGUACAAAAGUCAUGCAGUCCCAGGGGAAGGCACUGGGCUAAACCCUCAUGACUGUAAAAUGAAGAAAUAGGCAUGAAGCAUGA